GANAACGCUGGCGGCGUGCCUAAUACAUGCAAGUCGAGCGAACUGAUUAGAAGCUUGCUUCUAUGACGUUAGCGGCGGACGGGUGAGUAACACGUGGGCAACCUGCCUGUAAGACUGGGAUAACUUCGGGAAACCGAAGCUAAUACCGGAUAGGAUCUUCUCCUUCAUGGGAGAUGAUUGAAAGAUGGUUUCGGCUAUCACUUACAGAUGGGCCCGCGGUGCAUUAGCUAGUUGGUGAGGUAACGGCUCACCAAGGCAACGAUGCAUAGCCGACCUGAGAGGGUGAUCGGCCACACUGGGACUGAGACACGGCCCAGACUCCUACGGGAGGCAGCAGUAGGGAAUCUUCCGCAAUGGACGAAAGUCUGACGGAGCAACGCCGCGUGAGUGAUGAAGGCUUUCGGGUCGUAAAACUCUGUUGUUAGGGAAGAACAAGUACGAGAGUAACUGCUCGUACCUUGACGGUACCUAACCAGAAAGCCACGGCUAACUACNUGCCANCAGCCGCGGUAAUACNUANGUGGCAAGCGUUAUCCGGAAUUAUUGGGCGUAAAGCGCGCGCANGCGGNUUCUUAANUCNGANGNGAANNNCCNCNGNUC
rnacentral:rRNA from 1 species